CGGAGAAAGUGAGUGAGGACUGAUCAGUGGACGAUAGUCUCAAAUUGUUCUGCAAGAGAGAGGCCGAAUGCGAAAGACAAAGUGAGCAACGAGAGAGAGGGGGGGGGGGGGGGGGGGGAGGACAAUCCGUAGUAGACGACAGUCUCGAAUUAUUAUUGACCGACCGGUAGACAAUAGGCUGAUUGACUGGUAGCAAUAAAAAUUCUUUCAGAUGGCAAGUAAAGUCAAGCCACACAAUGUAGACCACAGUACAGAAUGACCACUUCCAUUCAUAUCCACUUAAAAACCAUUUUGUUAAAUAGAUAAAUCUGGCUCUAACCGGCUUGUAAAUUUUUCAUUAUAUUAUUAUCAAAGACGUUUUUACUCCAGUUGGUGCUGCAUUUUCCUCCCACCAUAAAGAUGCAUAAAUCAUAUUAUCAAAUCCAUUGUAGGUCAAUAAUUUCCUACACUAUAUAUAUGUAAAAGUCAUGUCUUUGUUGUAAGCAAUAAAAUCUCAUGAAAAGCACAUCUUACGAUAAGUUUCUCUAAUUCAAUCCAUGAAGAUCAAGUCCACCUAAAAAUUGUCCACAUAAUAAAUACGUGUUGACAAUUUUGAUCCAUAGCCUAUGAAAGGUUUUGUGCAUUAUUGAAGAGAAUAGACUAGCAUGAUCGAUAUUUGGAAAAAAAAAUUUAACUGUUUUCAAGAAAAAAAAGAUUUAUUUUUGCAAAAACUGAAUAUUUUGGAUGUUUUAGCCCUUAAGUAAUUUUGGACAAUUGGGGUUCACAUAGGGCUGAUGGACCCAUAAUCAGGUCUAGAAGGAUAUUUUGGUAAUUUUCAUUCCCAAGGGAGUUCAAUCAACCAUUAAAUUUUAGAAAACAACAUUAGGAUAAAUGCUUAGGCUAGCAUUCGAUUCCACUAGAUUCAACCAGUCUAACCAUACAUAAUCCAUUAGUUUAAUGAGAAGAUUGUAGUAAGGAAAUUAGCAAUAUAUAUGCAAUGAUGAUUUUGGAAAAGUCGAGGGAACUUCACGAGUAAUGUUUUGGUCGCCUUAAAGCAUAUUUGGUGUUAUGCAAUGAGUAAUAAUCAAAUGUAUUUUUGUCUUGUCAAUUGUAAUAAACUAGAGAAUGAAGUUCGGGCUCACCUGGAGGAAUGAUGCAGAGAUGAAAUUCUUGUAAUGGGCUUUAGUGUUCGAGAAGAAGUUGCCUUGAACAAAUCAAGUUGUGUUCGAGUCCCAAAAGGCAGUACAAUUUGAGAUCACCUUCACACCUCAACUUGAAGCUAUCAAUACAAAUAUAACUCAGAACAAAAAUGAGGAUCUCAG
rnacentral:lncRNA from 1 species